GCGGGCGUAGCUCAAUUGGAUAGAGCACCUGACUACGGAUCAGGAGGUUACAGGUUCGACUCCUGUCGCCCGUG
rnacentral:tRNA from 1 species